rnacentral:rRNA from 1 species
UACGUAGGCAGCAAGCGUUGUUCGGAGUUACUGGGCGUAAAGGGGGUGUAGGCGGUUGUUUAAGUUUGGGGUGAAAUCUCCCGGCUCAACUGGGAGGGUGCGCCGAAUACUGAAUGACUAGAGUGUGGGAGAGGUAAGCGGAAUUCCUGGUGUAGCGGUGAAAUGCGUAGAUAUCAGGAGGAACACCUGCGGUGUAGACGGCUUACUGGACCAUGACUGACGCUGAGGCACGAAAGCGUGGGGAGCAAACAGG